rnacentral:rRNA from 1 species
UACGUAGGGUGCAAGCGUUAUUCGGAAUUAUUGGGCGUAAAGGGCGCGUAGGCGGCUUUGCAAGUGACGGGUGAAAUCCCUCGGCUUAACCGAGGAACUGCCUGUCAAACUGCAUGGCUUGAGACCGGGAGAGGUGAGUGGAAUUCCCAGUGUAGCGGUGAAAUGCGUAGAUAUUGGGAGGAACACCGGUGGCGAAGGCGGGUCUCUGGGCCGAUACCGACGCUGAGGUGCGAAAGCGUGGGGAGCAAACAGG